GGGGUGGAGCAGCCCGGUAGCUCGUCAGGCUCAUAACCUGAAGGCCGCAGGUUCAAAUCCUGCCCCCGCAACCAAAC
rnacentral:tRNA from 1 species